UUCUCUCUCACAUCUCGUACUGCCGCAUCGUCCCACACGUCCCUCCGUCCAUGGUCUCACCGGCGUUCCCCUCCCCCGCUCCCCCCAUUCCCCCCGCAUUCCGUCCGUGGUCUCAUGGGACAAGACGGUGAGGCUUUACGACGCUGACGCCAACGUGCUCAAGAGGGAGUUCAUGCACCCUGGGGCCAUCCUCGACUGCUGCUUCCACGACGACUCCUCAGGCUUUAGCGCCGGAGCCGACCACACCAUUCGGAGGUUGGUAUUAAGCUCGUCCAAGGAAGAUGUUUUGGGGCGGCAUGAUGGUCCAGUUCGUUGUGUGGAAUACUCUUAUGCUGCAGAUACUUUUAUUUCUAUGGAUUUGCUUUUGGAUUUCUUUUCUAGCGUUUCUUUUUCUUCUGCAAGGUACUUCUGCAGCCUGAUGCAGCUAUAAAUAGAACACAUUGAUAGCUAUUUUUGUACUUGAAUUCCAAAAACACUAUAUAUAGUUAUGCAGUUAUGCUUUUG